rnacentral:rRNA from 1 species
CACGUAGGGGCCAAGCGUUGUCCGGAUUUAUUGGGCGUAAAGAGCUCGUAGGCGGUUGGGUAAGUCGGGUGUGAAAACUCCGGGCUCAACUCGGAGACGCCACCCGAUACUGCUCUGACUUGAGUCCGGUAGGGGAGUGGGGAAUUCCUGGUGUAGCGGUGAAAUGCGCAGAUAUCAGGAGGAACACCGGUGGCGAAGGCGGUUCUCUGGGCCUGUACUGACGCUGAGGAACGAAAGCGUGGGGAGCGAACAGG